rnacentral:tRNA from 1 species
GCGCCUGUGGCGUAACUGGCAGCCGCGCCAGACUUAGGAUCUGGUGGAGUAAUCCGUGUAGGUUCGAGUCCUAUCAGGCGCA